AGCACCUCGGGAGCUUUUCUUGAACAAUCGCCCACUGUGAGCAGCUCCGCUAAGGGUUUAUUACUCAGCUGUGCUUUCAGGAUCUUUCCGACCCAGGCCGGACUCUUCAUUCUGGGCCAUAUGUGGCAGAGUGGGCCCCUCUCCUCCUGGAAAUCAAUCCCCGGAGAAUGAUUAACAGGGUACUUUCCAAUUGCCGGGAAAAGAGGGGCGGGAAGAGAGAGAAGAUCUGUUCCAAAAACCAAGCGAGCUGCCUUGCCUGUUGCCUACAUAGGCAUCUGAGAUAUUUCAGAGUGAAUCAGGAUAUAAAACUAGAAAAGAUGUAGGCAAGGACUUGGCUUUAUCCAUCGUGAAUUGACUGGAUUGUGAAAAGUGGCCGUUACAUACCAGAAUGUAGCCAGUUGGUUGGAGGGGAGGAGUUGAAAAGUAAGAGGAAAGGGAUAUUGAUUCAGAGGCAGAGCAAGCAAGUAUUGAUCAGCAUGUUAUUUUAUCAAUAUAUUUUUGAGGCAUUGAUAUAUUAAAAUUAGCCAACAUUUAAAUUAGAAGCCUAAUUUGCAUGCUUUCCAACUCACUCAGUUGGCCUUUUGUCGGGCGUAAUAGAAUUGGGAGACCACAAGAGGGUGAUAUAACAUUUACUGAAGCCGGUCGCAGGUUGGAAAGGCACAGUCAUCACACACACAUGACGAGCUGAUGCAGCGCAGAAGAUGGCAUUCCAAAGCUACGAAGGUUUUUGAACUUCUUCAAGAAUGAACAAAGUGACGUUGAUGAGUUUGCAGACUCUCUCUUUCUGAGCUUCUGUAUGGGGGUGAUGUCAUCAUGUGAAACUGUCAUGGCAACAAAAUAAACCUCCCAGCAGCACAUAUGGAAUAUCUUUAUUUUCAAGUUCAGAAAAAGGAUGAAUGGGCGAAAAUGUCUAUAGAACUGCAGAACACCAUAAAGAGGUAAAGACCAGAACACAACAGUGAAGACUAUUAUAAACUAGCAUAUACCAAUGAAAACCACUGCAGUCAAGCAUAUACCCCUGCAGGGCACUGAAGACCACUACAAACCAGUACAGACCACCACAGAGACCCCUAUGGACCACUGGAAUAAAGACCAGCACAGAUUAGUAAAGACUAUUAUAAACCAGCAUAGACCAGUAAAGACCACUGCAGGCCAGUGAAGACAACUACAAACCAGCACAAACCAAUAAAGACCACUACAAUCCAGCACAAAGACCAGCACAAACCAGUAAAGACCACUACAGACCAGCAUAAACAAGUAAAGACCACUAUGGACCACCGCAAUAAAGACCAGUGAAGAUUAUACUAAACAAGCAUAGACCAGUAAGGACCACUGCAGACCAGUGAAGACAACUACAAACAAGUACAAACCAGUAAAGACCACUAAAGACCAGCACAAACCAGAAAAAGACAAUUACAGACCAGCACAAACCAGUAAAGACCUUUAAAGUCAGAAUAUCUGCGGAUUUAUCGGCCUCGGUGAAAUAUCGGUCGACCACUAUUAAAGACCAUUACAGACCAACACAAAUCAGUAAAGACCAUUACAGACCAGGACAAACCAAUAAAGACCACUAUGGACCACUGCAAUAAAGACCAGCAGAGAACAAUGAAGACUAUUAUAAACCAGCAUAGAGCAGUAAAGACCAAAGUAGGCCAGUGUAAACAUCUACAUACCAGCACAAACCAGUAAAAACCACUACAGACCAACACAAACCAAUAAAAACUACUGCUGAUCACUGCAAUAAAGACCAGCAGAGAUCAGUGAAGACUAUUCAAAACCAACAUAGACCAAUGCAGGCCAGUGCAAACCAUUAAAGACUCGGAUCCAGUGCGAGCCUCAAUCUCCUGACAGUUUGAACGACCAUGAUGAUUUGUGAAUCAGAGGAACUUUUGAUUCUGAUCCUCAAGUUUUUGAUUUUCAUGCGGUUCUGUUUAAAAGAGAUAUCUGCAUAUUUGCAGAUGGUAUAUAAUAGAAGUUUUAUUGAUAUUUGUCUUUUAUCAUUAGAAAAGUUACAGGGAAUUUUUGAGGAGAGACUGUUAGAAUAAGUGCUUCAGAGGAAGA